rnacentral:rRNA from 1 species
AGAGUUUGAUCCUGGCUCAGGAUGAACGCUAGCGACAGGCUUAACACAUGCAAGUCGAGGGGCAGCACAGGUAGCAAUACCGGGUGGCGACCGGCGCACGGGUGAGUAACGCGUAUGCAACUUACCUAUCAGAGGGGGAUAACCCGGCGAAAGUCGGACUAAUACCGCAUGAAGCAGGGGCCCCGCAUGGGGAUAUUUGCUAAAGAUUCAUCGCUGAUAGAUAGGCAUGCGUUCCAUUAGGCAGUUGGCGGGGUAACGGCCCACCAAACCGACGAUGGAUAGGGGUUCUGAGAGGAAGGUCCCCCACAUUGGUACUGAGACACGGACCAAACUCCUACGGGAGGCAGCAGUGAGGAAUAUUGGUCAAUGGGCGUAAGCCUGAACCAGCCAAGUCGCGUGAGGGAUGAAGGUUCUAUGGAUCGUAAACCUCUUUUAUAAGGGAAUAAAGUGCGGGACGUGUCCCGUUUUGUAUGUACCUUAUGAAUAAGGAUCGGCUAACUCCGUGCCAGCAGCCGCGGUAAUACGGAGGAUCCGAGCGUUAUCCGGAUUUAUUGGGUUUAAAGGGUGCGUAGGCGGCCUUUUAAGUCAGCGGUGAAAGUCUGUGGCUCAACCAUAGAAUUGCCGUUGAAACUGGGGGGCUUGAGUAUGUUUGAGGCAGGCGGAAUGCGUGGUGUAGCGGUGAAAUGCUUAGAUAUCACGCAGAACCCCGAUUGCGAAGGCAGCCUGCCAAGCCAUGACUGACGCUGAUGCACGAAAGCGUGGGGAUCAAACAGGAUUAGAUACCCUGGUAGUCCACGCAGUAAACGAUGAUCACUAGCUGUUUGCGAUACAGUGUAAGCGGCACAGCGAAAGCGUUAAGUGAUCCACCUGGGGAGUACGCCGGCAACGGUGAAACUCAAAGGAAUUGACGGGGGCCCGCACAAGCGGAGGAACAUGUGGUUUAAUUCGAUGAUACGCGAGGAACCUUACCCGGGCUUAAAUUGCAGUGGAAUGAUGUGGAAACAUGUCAGUGAGCAAUCACCGCUGUGAAGGUGCUGCAUGGUUGUCGUCAGCUCGUGCCGUGAGGUGUCGGCUUAAGUGCCAUAACGAGCGCAACCCUUGCCACUAGUUACUAACAGGUAAAGCUGAGGACUCUGGUGGGACUGCCAGCGUAAGCUGCGAGGAAGGCGGGGAUGACGUCAAAUCAGCACGGCCCUUACAUCCGGGGCGACACACGUGUUACAAUGGCGUGGACAAAGGGAUGCCACCUGGCGACAGGGAGCGAAUCCCCAAACCACGUCUCAGUUCGGAUCGGAGUCUGCAACCCGACUCCGUGAAGCUGGAUUCGCUAGUAAUCGCGCAUCAGCCAUGGCGCGGUGAAUACGUUCCCGGGCCUUGUACACACCGCCCGUCAAGCCAUGGGAGCCGGGGGUACCUGAAGUACGUAACCGCAAGGAUCGUCCUAGGGUAAAACUGGUGACUGGGGCUAAGUCGUAACAAGGUAGCCGUACCGGAAGGUGCGGCUG